rnacentral:rRNA from 1 species
UGGGGAAUAUUGGACAAUGGGCGCAAGCCUGAUCCAGCCAUGCCGCGUGAGUGAUGAAGGCCCUAGGGUUGUAAAACUCUUUCGCCGGUGAAGAUAAUGACGGUAACCGGUAAAGAAGCCCCGGCUAACUUCGUGCCAGCAGCCGCGGUAAUACGAAGGGGGCUAGCGUUGUUCGGAAUAACUGGGCGUAAAGCGCACGUAGGCGGAUUGUUUAGUUAGAGGUGAAAUCCCGGGGCUUAACCCCGGAACUGCCUUUAAUACUGGCAAUCUGGAGUCCGAGAGAGGUGAGUGGAAUUCCGAGUGUAGAGGUGAAAUUCGUAGAUAUUCGGAGGAACACCAGUGGCGAAGGCGGCUCACUGGCUCGGUACUGACGCUGAGGUGCGAAAGCGUGGGGAGCAAACAGGAUUAGAUACCCCCGUAGUCC